UUGAGUAUUUCAAUGGGGCCAAAGCUAGAAAUGGGCAAGCUUGUGCAUAUGGAAGUAGGGGAUGUUGAUAAGCCCCAGCUUGUUUCUGUUAGUUUCAAGUUACAAGAUGGGACUACUUACAUUGCAUGCCCACUACAAGAAUGCAUGGCGGUGUGGACCUAGGUAAUCACCAAGAUGCCCAGUUCACCCAUCACUCCUGUUACUCAUCAGUUCGUUGUCCAGCUUGGCAGUCAGUCCAUUAAACAGGGGCAACGGAAAUUCGCACCUAAACUUGAAAAGAAAGUGCGGGAAGUCCACAAACCUUUGACAGCCAAAUUUACUACUCAUCCAACUUGGCUUGCAAAUAUCAUUGGCAUAUACAUAAACUUUCACUAUUUGAAUAAAGCUUGUCCCGGUGAUGAAUACCUCUUGCCCAACAUGGUGGUUCUGAUUGGCAGCACAACCAGUUUAGUAAUGCUCUCCUUUAUGGAAAAUACAGUGGCAUAAUCAUAUCCCCAUGGAACCCCUCCGAAUUCUGAAAUGCCUAAAACUGCCUUCUACAACCUGAUUGCCACUUAUUAUUACUGUGCCAUGACAUUGAAGCCAAAAAAUGCCAGGCCAUUGACCGGUGGGCCGUGAUGGCAAUCUUCCAUUAUAUAUUUCAUGUUGAGCUGGAGGAUUAUGCCCAUGAUGUUGCGGACCCGUGGUAAAGUCUCGAGUGAGCUACUUUCACGAAGAGGUGCUCAAAGAGUGUUUGAUUGAUGUCAACAGUUUGGAUUAAAAAUGAAUCCCUUAGGGGGCAACUUGGCAUGCGUGCAAAGAAGUUCUGGGGCUAUUUCACAUGGGAGCACUUACGUCCCCUUGUACAAAAUCACGUGUGGUCAUUGCACCAAAAUUCAUUUUGCUUUCUUUUUCAAAUUCUUGCGAAACCAUUGUAACAAGGCAAUUUGCCAAGGGACUGAUGUGAUCACCUAGACCACUAUACCAAGGUCCCACCCCAGCCAUGGCCGCCCAGCCUUUUAUAAGCCUAGGUUAAAGCGUGAGAGAAUGUAACUAAUCUGCCUCGAGCAGUCGCCCAGGAAAUGUGAACAUUAAGUCUCUCUAUUACUUGCUUGUUUGCAGUAUCGUGUUCCUAUGAUGGUUUGUAUGAUUUUCAAAUUUUUGAUGGUUGAAUGGUUCAUGUGCCACUGCCUAGACGCUUGGUCAACUGUGUUGUUUUAGGUGUCUCAGCUGGCCUUGCACAAAAUGUUAUCUCAAAAGAAGAAGAAAAAAAGAAUGAAACUCCACGAAUUCUUCGAUCUCCAUAGUUAUAUCGAAAAUAAAAAUUUAAAAAAAAAAAUCAAAAGGACAUAAAACCAGCCCUUGAAUCAACACCAAUACUUCCAAUAUAAUUACAUGCCAAAACCCAUGAAUUAAAAAGCCAAAUCAAUAAAAAUACUCCCAGCAAAGAUUUCAAAUCUCCAUAAGCCUAGAAUCCAAGCACACCAAUUCAACACAAGCAAAA